UCAAAGCCGGGGACCCUUCGGGGCCUGGCGCCUGAGGAGAAGCCCGCGCCCGAUUAGCUAGUUGGUGAGGUAACGGCUCACCAAGGCAACGAUCGGUAGCCGGCCUGAGAGGGCGGACGGCCACACUGGGACUGAGACACGGCCCAGACUCCUACGGGAGGCAGCAGUGGGGAAUUUUUGUCAAUGGGGGAAACCCUGAACAACCAACGCCACGUGGAGGACGAAAACCUUCGGGUUGUAAACUCCUGUCGGAGGGGACGAAAGCGGUCGAGGCUAAUAUCCUCGGCCGUUGACGGUACCCUACGAGGAAGCCCCGGCUAACUCCGUGCCAGCAGCCGCGGUAAUACGGGGGGGGCAAGCGUUGUUCU
rnacentral:rRNA from 1 species